UACAGAGGGUGCAAGCGUUAAUCGGAAUUACUGGGCGUAAAGCGUGCGCAGGCGGCGCGUUAAGACAGGUGUGAAAGCCCCGAGCUUAACUUGGGAAUUGCGCUUGUGACUGGCGUGCUGGAGUGUGGCAGAGGGAGGUGGAAUUCCACGUGUAGCAGUGAAAUGCGUAGAGAUGUGGAGGAACACCGAUGGCGGAGGCAGCCUCCUGGGCCAGCACUGACGCUCAUGCACGAAAGCGUGGGGAGCAAACAGG
rnacentral:rRNA from 1 species